rnacentral:rRNA from 1 species
UACGUAGGGGGCAAGCGUUGUCCGGAAUCAUUGGGCGUAAAGAGCGUGUAGGCGGCCAGAAAAGUCCGCUGUGAAAACUCGAGGCUCAACUUCGAGCUGUCGGUGGAAACUUUCUGGCUAGAGUCCGGAAGAGGAGAAUGGAAUUCCUGGUGUAGCGGUGAAAUGCGCAGAUAUCAGGUGGAACACCGGUGGCGAAGGCGGGACUCUGGGCCGAUACUGACGCUGAGGAGCGAAAGCGUGGGGAGCAAACGGG